UACGUAGGGUGCAAGCGUUGUCCGGAAUUAUUGGGCGUAAAGAGCUCGUAGGCGGUUUGUCGCGUCUGCUGUGAAAACCUAAGGCUCAACCUUGGGCUUGCAGUGGGUACGGGCAGACUAGAGUGCGGUAGGGGUGACUGGAAUUCCUGGUGUAGCGGUGGAAUGCGCAGAUAUCAGGAGGAACACCGAGUGGCGAAGGCAGGUCACUUGGGCCGCAAC
rnacentral:rRNA from 1 species